rnacentral:rRNA from 1 species
GAUGAACGCUGGCGGCGUGCUUAACACAUGCAAGUCGAACGAGAAGGGGAGACGGAAACCUUCCGGCGGAAGACUUUACUUCGAGUGGCGUACGGGCGAGUAACGCGUGGGUAACCUGCCUCAUACAGGGGGAUAACAGUUGGAAACGACUGUUAAUACCGCAUAAGACCACAGCACCGCAUGGUGCGGGGGUAAAAACUCCGGUGGUAUGAGAUGGACCCGCGUUCGAUUAGCCAGUUGGCGGGGUAACGGCCCACCAAAGCGACGAUCGAUAGCCGAUCUGAGAGGAUGGCCGGCCACAUUGGGACUGAGACACGGCCCCAACUCCUACGGGCGGCAGCAGUGGGGAAUAUUGCACACUGGGGGAGAACCUGAUGCAGCGACGCCGCGUGAGUGAAGAAGUAUUUCGGUAUGUAAAGCCCUAUCAGCAGGGAAGAACAUGCCAGUACCUGAGUAAGAAGCCCCGGCUCACUACGUG